UUGUUGCUGCUAUAGAGUUGGCCAUUAUUUUGUUCACCCGAUUUACUUAAUCAGAGCAGCAUAGACAACAUGUGUAACAUACAAAUGGAAUAAGUCAAGGUGGACAAUGGAUUAGAAAUGUUAAUGAAUGACUUUGUAAAUAGAUGUGCAAAAGCUAAUACAUAUAACCUUUUCAUGUCAUGUAGGAUGAAUGCUGUUGGAGUGAAGUACAGAGAUCGACAAAAAUACCUCUGUUUUGAGGGCCAAGUACGCAUUGUAUUUGGAAAGUGAUUGCCUGAGUUCCCCUGCAAGCAGCUCCUUUACCAGCUCCAGUGGGGAUAUUGAUGGGGACUCUGAUGACACCGUAAUAUUGCAGUGCAGUCCUGCCACAAGACAGAGAGCUGAAAACACCUCUCUUGCCAAAAUGAUUGAAGAUGUUCUAAAGAACAAACCUGGCGGAGAGAGGAUCAUCAAUGAGUAUGCUCAGACAAAAAGUCUUAACAGAUGGCAGGCGGAGCGACAUGGUCAAGAUAUUGGUUGCACAAAUAAGUGAACAUGGUGCUCAUAGUUUGUGUGUAUGUGUAGGACAAGUCCUUCAAGGCGUGUCAAAGAGGACUACGCAAAGGGGAUCAUCAACUUGUUCCCAUACCUGGCUGAUCCAAGGAGCAAGUUUGGUUAUAAGAUGGGAGUGGGUAUCUGGCUUGGAGAUUGAAGUUUGUCCAAAAGGAAGCUUCUGAUGGACAAAAGAAGGCCAUGAGACUCUCAAGAACACAAAUGGGGGGCCCAUCAGCUGAAAGAGACUUGAGGGAGGGGACAAUCCCCAAUAACUGACAGCUUGUGUUCUGAGGCCAUUGCACUGAUGAAGCAUACAGCUGAUGAAGGAAUUGUUAUGACGAAGAUGAAGCAGACCUUCAACUAUCGCCAAAAGAUCAUUCAUGAUCCAGUGAAGUCCUCUGAUGUCUUUCUGGCCUUCCCAAGAUUCCUGGACAUACAAGGAUUAAUUGAGCAAGAUUUUACUUUGAUGUUUGAUGAUGACAUCUCUGCAAAGUUCCUGGAGAAGUGGCCCACAAUUUACAAGAAAAAAGUCCUUGAACAAAGCCGUGGUCUCAGUCGGAUGAUCUGCAGUACCUCGUCCAGACUGCUGAAUCCACAACAGAAGUCGAAAGUGGAUGGGACAGUGACAUGUCGUCCAUUUUGAUCCUUGUGCACCUGCUGCCGCCGUCACCUCUUGGCCGCAAGAGACCAGGAAAGCUCUCCGCCAGACAAACCAGUGAGAAUCUUGUGAAGUUCAUCAAGACAGGGACCAGCAUCCAGGGGCAUCUCGAUGGAAUCGCAGGCAGCCUUCAACCAUACCUGCUUGCUGUGGGAACUCAGAGGAAUGUGAUUCACAAGUACUUCAUUGACAAACAUGCAAGAUCUUGUAAGUCAUCUGGCUCUCUUGCUUGAUUUGAUGAGCUUUUCAAAGCUCACUUUGUCUUUGGCACUUCGUACAACCACGAUCUCGUCAAUGUGUACAACGUCCUUCAGUCAACCAUUUAUGAAAUCGAUAUUGAUACAACCAAGGUGAAUCCUAGAGUUGCAGAGUUGAGGGCUCAGAUGCUGCGUUGAGUAGAUUUUUCUGAUUUGUUUUUCUGUGAGGGCUCCAUUCCAGAAUUAAGGUAUUCUAAAAUGUUGUUUUUCAUUUGUAAGAGCUCUCAGACAAAUACUAAUUUAGUUGUAUGUG